rnacentral:sRNA from 1 species
CUUUAACCCUGUCACAGGGAUUGUAAUGGAAACCCCGCAUCCUCCGCAUCGGAAGAGGAGUUGCAAUGUAAAGCCCGACCCUGA